rnacentral:rRNA from 1 species
UACGUAGGCAGCAAGCGUUGUUCGGAGUUACUGGGCGUAAAGGGCGCGUAGGCGGCCUUAUAAGUAUGGUGUGAAAUCUCCCGGCUUAACUGGGAGGGUGCGCUAUAGACUGUGGGGCUAGAGUGUGGGAGAGGAAAGUGGAAUUCCUGGUGUAGCGGUGAAAUGCGUAGAUAUCAGGAGGAACACCGGUGGUGUAAACGGCUUUCUGGACCAUAACUGACGCUGAGGCACGAAAGCGUGGGUAGCAAACAGG